CUUAUGUUGAGAGAAGAGGAGAAGAAGAGAAGAAGAGUCGACUGAAACUGCAAACGACUGUAGAGAUGCUGACCGGUGAAGUGAAACAGAUCCCUAGAAUCCAUAUUCCCAAAUUACCCCUCUUUUUUUUUAAAAUUAUUAAUUUCCUAACCCAAAUACAAUAAUACGAGAGAGAUAGAGAGAUAAGGUCUAAAUAAAUGACGUCUCCUUGGACGUGUCUCUAACGAGAGGUAUCGUCUCGCCACGCCUUGCAAGCGAAGCAAAGCUUAAUUAUCUUCGAGAGAGACAGAUAGACACAGAGAUUUCAAGAGAGAGAAAGAAAGAUUUGACGAGAGAGGGAGAGAGAGAGCGCGCCAGAGCCUCUCUCUCUCUCUCUGACAUGUCUAUAACUCUCCAUUGUCCUUCUUCUUGAAUGCUUUGAUCCGCUUUCCACUCUCGGAUUUCGCCCUUUCACCUGUCUCGGGGAGUCUCCCUGACUUGCUAUGAAGGUUGAUCACCACCCAUUCAAUUGCAUUAAACCAAUUCCAGGCGUUCCCUCUCUUAGCCCUUCCAAACCCCCAUUGGUUUUACUCACAUCUCUAAUCAGUGCUUGGACUCUCCAUUCUCCCAUUAAUCAUGGCUGCAGAUGAUAACCGCCAUUUCUUCCCACUCACCACUCUACAGAUUGGGGAUUUACAGUCUUAUCUGUCACGUCUUAGCCUGUUUUGUGCCCCUGAGAGCAACAAGUUCUUCAUCUUGGUGGACAACCGACCAUGGUUGAUAGACAGGGAUUCACGUUCUGCACACCUCUGGCAAUUCAUGGUUACUAAGUCCAGGCUGUCACCAUUUGCAAACACAAGAGGAAGAAAACGGGAGAAAAAAGAUUUCGGAAGAAGGCUUGAUCUGAAGAGUAGAUCAAGAUCCAACUCUAGUAAACCAAAAGAAUUCCGAAGAUGGUUCUCAGUAAUUGAUGCUGCAUUAUAUCAAAAGAAAGCCUUGCUGCCAGUGAAGAAAUUGAAGGAUACUUUGCUCUUGAACAGUGAGUUGCAUCGGACACUAUAUGGUUUCAUUGUAUUUGAAGCAUCGUGGACUGAUGUGCGUGGUAUCAAUUAUCUAAAUGAGCUUCAGACGGAUACAUCUAUGGCAGUGGAGGCUAAGUUUAUGAAAAGAUGGGAAUUCGAUAGUAUCGAGCAAGCUUCAAGAUGUACUUCUUCAUGGUUCUCAGGGACAUAUUAUGAGCAGUUGCUCUUGCUAGAGUAUCUGGAUGAGAUCUCAGUUAUAGGAGAGGUGUUUCAUGAUGCUCAAGAAAAUCCUUCAGUUCUUGACCCUGCUUCUGAUGGUGAGAGUGCAUGUAAUGGGGGUGGGUCCCCUGAGGAUAAGUCUCCUAAUGGUGCUGUUAGAAAUUUUAGUUCUGGUCCCACAGGCAUGGAGUACAGAACAAGUUUAUUACACACUCCACCUCCCCCUUCAGGGCCUUACAAGAGGAGAAAAAUAAUGAAAUGCCUAAGUGAGGGGGUUGAAAUUGACGCAGUUUCUAAGGAAGAACAUGCUGAAAUUUUUAGCUCACCAAGGCAUUCAGAGACAUCAUUGUCUACCCAUAGUAUUGACAGAGAAAAUGCAGCAACAGUAUGCGACUCUACCUGUUACAGAGAUGUCUUGAUUUUAUUUAGAUUUGAUGAUCGUGACCUCCCAUUUAAACUUAAACAGAUAAUCAUGUCUGAUCUGCGGCUACUUACCCUGCUAGAAUCUGGGCUUCCGUCCUGGGUUAUUUUUCUUCAGUCAUAUCCGGUAUUUUGCCAUUUCUAUCGUCCUUGGAUGUGCCCUCUAGCAAGAGCUUUAUACGUGAUGAUUUCAGUUGUCACUGUUCUCAUUGGAUUUUAUGAUUUGUACAAAAAUGUCCCAGUUCUGAAAGCAACUGCAUCACGCUUGUGUGGGCCCCUUUUUGACUGGAUAGAGACUUGGGAGAUGAUAUCAAGGAUUAAAUACUUGGGGACCAUGCUUUUUCUACAUAAUUUUGAGAAAGCUGUUAAGUGGUUGCUUAUGACUACACGUGCUGUCAGGUCAUUAUUUUCAGUUCUGACUGAGCCAAUAGCAGGGCCACUUGCGGAACUUGUUGGGUUCCUUCUACCCUUUUGGCAAAUUUCUCUUCAAACAGGAGAGACCUUUGGUUCUGUCAUCUGUAUUGUCAUAGGAUCUACGUGCAGUAUGGUAGAGAACCUGGUGCAGAUGUUACUCUGGCCAAUGUGGUUCAUUCAUUCUCUUAUCUGGAGCGUUGCAAUGUUCAUUAUAUACCCGAUAAUUUGGGCUAUCUGGGAAGUACUAACUACUCCUGUCUACCUAGUUCUGGCGUCCGCAAAUUUAACGGUUUCCCUUUUCUCCUACGUUUUUUAUUUGCUGAGGGACACCUGUUUGUUAUUAAGUAGCAUGUUCCAGCUUGCAUCUUCUUCUGAACCAAUAGUUGGCACCUAUGAAGUUUCCAUGUGGCGUGCACUUUGGAAUGACCUUUUCUCACAGGUUUUCCGUGCAAUCCGAAGCAUCCUAAAUGGUUUUAUUGCCUUUUUCACAGCCUGCAACAGGCACCGCCUAAGGAUAGAAGCACAGUUGGCAGUUUGUGAGCUUCAGCUAGAUGUUGGAGCCAAUCAGUCAUCUUUGGUGGCAUCGACAUUGAUUUGGUAAGGGCAAAAAGUGGGCCAUGCGCCUUUGUCUUGCACGGACGCUACCAGAUGUGGACAAUGACAGGAGGGUGGGAAGCGAAAUAAUGGUGACUACAAAGUAAUUGUCAGCUUAGGGGAUUAUUGCGAUUGCAGGGAGAGGGGAGUUCGUAAGAUCAGUCCUCAGAUAUCAAAGGGGGAUUCUCAGGUUGACGGACAGUUGAUUGGUGAAGAUGAGGUUGUUUCGAAAUCAAAUCCUCACCCUUCCCACCCAGAAGGAUCUGGUUACUAUUAGCGAUGUAUGUUUCACAAUGCCUGGCUGAAUACUCCUUCGACUGGGCCUAUGGGGAGAAACACAGAAUCGUUCAAGCACUGGCUCUCAAAACCUCACCCUUCCCACCCAGAAGGAUCUGGUUACUAUUGGCAAGGUAUGUUUCACAACGCCUGACUGAAUACUCCUUCGACUGGGCGUAUGGGGAGAAACACAGAAUCGUCCAAGCGUUGGCUCAAAGCUGUGAUGGGUCAUGUCAGAAGAACGGUAGGAAUUUCCUUUGAGGACUGUGAGGAAGAUUUUGUUGGCCUGUUCAAACUGGUAGAGGAGAGUAAAGCUCAAAAGCUAGUUUGGGUCACAUCUCCAAUACAGAUCAUGAAAACUCUGAAAGGAAGACAUGAAUUAGUAGUAGGGUUGAAAUCAUUCGUGAACUAAGAGGAAAGGGCGGUGUGCCAAGAGGCAUAAAAGGGGAUGGGUAUCAGUUUGUGUGCAUCAUGAAGCUGAUUUCUUACAAUAUUAGGGGGUUGGGUUGCCCCAAGAAAAGAACCCAAAUCAAGCAAUUUAGCUAGUGUCAAAAUUGCAUCCAAUCUUUAUUCCUUGUCAUCAUAUCACUCUCCUAGCUAUUUGGCAUCGUCAGCUUUAUGAAUCAUUUCGUCAACAAUCCUAUCAAGGCGCCAUCCUUGUAUAUACAAUCAUAUGCAGGAGCUCUUUCUGCGCAUAUAUUGCCUGGCCUACCCUUCACGUUCUGUUGAUUCUAGUAAUGCUAGAAGGAAGCAUGGAUCUCAAAAUCCAUUGGAGGGAGGAACCAGUUUCAAAGCAAGU